UGUCUAUGUACGUUAUUCCGAAUUCUUCUACUUGGGAGAUUUGUCUCUUCUCUCCCAUUUAUUUAUUCAAUCAUUUAUUUUAUAUCAGUGGGAUUUGUGGAUACUUAAUUUCUGCUUUCUGUUAUAAUCUUGCAGUGCUUUAUUUAUGUCCAACUAGUUCCAGAUCUGGCAACCGGAGAGGUCUUUCUCUUGGUUACUGAGUCUCUUUGACAUACUCCCAUGAUUGUGGGUUUCUUUAUUCUGUGUUUUCUUUUCUUUUCUUUUCUUUUUUUUUUUAGCACUUUCUUACUUUCUGAUUCUGCAGCAUCCUUCUGGCUCAUUCCAUAUAUUUUCUAUAAUGUCCCAGUCCUAAAAUCAGCUAUUUCUCCAAGGAGCACUUUCACUGAGGGAUGGUAUUAGAAACCAAGAUUUGGGAACUAAGUGUGCUCAUUGCUACUGGGCUACCAUUGCUUUUGAGUCAUCACAACUGGGGGCAAGGACAUGUAAGUCCUUGCAUCGAUAUGCAUUUAUCUCUUUCUGUAUGUAACCCUCUGCAUCCAUACUAAACUAAGCAUGAUUUUACAUGGAUGUCUCCAGUGUGAUUUCCUUAUCCCAUGGGUAAUCCUAGCACAACCCCUGGUUGGCUUAUCUGUAGUCUCACACACCAACUGCCAGACAUUCAGUUAAUUGUUUACUGACUUAAAAGGAAAUUAUAAUCAUUAAUAUCCAUUACUGGCAUUAUUCCUAUUGAUGUUCCCCUUGUCCCAGAUUUGGCCAGAGAGAUCUCUUUCAAUCCACGUCUCUCUCACCUCUGCCAGUCUUUGAGCACCUCAUUGCAUCCUGGGACAACAAUAUUCUGGACUUGCCUUGUGUUUUCUCUGUCUCAGAUAUAGAAUCAGUCGUAUCUUCUAGAAACCCUAAUCCACCUCCUCUUUUUAUUGAAAUAUAAUUCCACAUGCCAUACAAUUCAUCCAUUUAAAAUGCACAAUUCAGUGGUUUUUGGUGUAUUCUUAGAGGCAUGCAAACAUCAGCAGUCGAUUUUAGGACAUCUCCCUCACCCCAAAUGGAGCUACAUAUCCUCUACGUACCAUCCCUCAAUGUUUCCAUCCUUCCAUCCCUCCCCUCCCCCUAGACAGCGGUGGCAUGUGCCUUCAGAGCCUAAAGAACAUGUGCAUGUAUGUUUGUGUGCAUGGAAGCACACACAACUGGCAACUACGGCGUUGGCAGGAGGAAGAGGCAGUAUCUGGGAAAUCAUAACCACAGAGGAUCUGACGCGGAAGGUAGAGGGAGCUCACAGGCGCAAGUCGUCAUGGUUGCUGCUUAGGAAGGGCACCUACAAAAUCUCGGCAGGGGCGGAGUGCAGCGGCCAGUCAAGAGGCUUCCUCAGAGGGUGUUCUCUGCUGUACCUUCUCUGUGGGGACAAUGUCCCUGGGCGAGGCUUGCUGGAACACUCCCAGACUCUGGACCUGGGCUGUCCUGGAUUUGCCAUUCCACCCCUCCCACUCUGAGGUGAGUAUUCAGGUUGGAUGGAAAGCGAGAUGGUUCUGGAGAGGAAAUCCACUCUGGAGGCUUAGAGAACACUUGAGAAAGAAGCCUAUUUCAAAGCAUUAAAAAGAGACUCAAAGAAAUUCAAAGGGGCUAUUGUUUUGAUUUUUAUUUUGGGACUAAAGCAUGAGUGAAACUUUGCACCCCUCUUGAAAUGCACUGUGACCACUGUUUUGUGCCUUAAAGAAACAGAUACUCAAAAUGCCUGUGUAAUACCUAGAGAACUUUGUGUUAAAAAUCACACAAAUACCUCAAGUUGAAGACAAUUACAUAUAUUUUUUCUAUCACUUUCUUACCGCUAUCUAUGAGCACACACCAUUGUGAAAGUUUCCCACAGUUGUAUAUUGUAGAACGUGCAGAUUGCAAGCUCUCUGCGUCGCUGUGUGAGCAGAUCCUCAUAGACUCAACAUGGCUGUGGCCGCACACACAACGUCCCAUGCUGUCUUUUACCUGCCUCUUCACUGCUGGAGACAGAACCGCAAUUGUUUCCAGGUAGCUCACGGUGACAAAAGUCUUCCAGCUGUUUCUUGUGAAACCUACCACCUUUUAGGGCUGUGAAUGUCUCUCAGGAUUCACAGAAAUUUUGGUUUAAGAGUAAAAAAUCCAAAGAGUGUAAGGCAGAUCGGGUUCCUGACGAUCUGUCAUUGCCACCUUUGCAUGCAGUAAUAGCAUCGAAGCUGGGUACAUAUCGCCCUGCGCAAGGUUACAUUUUUAGGCCCACUUUGCUGCCUGGUGCGGCCCAAGGGAAGCAGAAGGGCCAGGUGCCCACUCCUCCCUCCUGCUGGUGGCAGGGAGUGGCCACUCGAGACCCAGAGGCGGACGCCCCAUGUUGAAGACGCGGGAGCUGUCGUAUAUGCAGGGACUGUUAACACUUCUCUAGUGCAAGCUGUCACGUCCACGGGUGCCUCAGAUCCGGGGGCCCGGACUUUAUGCUAAAUCCUACUUUCUUGUCGACUGUUUCAGGCGAGAUAGUUUUAAGACUAUGCUUCCGUCUUCAGAAAAGUCCAGACAGUUCUGCUUCAAUCUUCACACAGCAUUUGCUAAACCAGUUUUGUCUCUCCACUUGUGCUUGAUAACGUGCUGGCAAGUGUUUCAGUUUGCCGGGGACACCUGUUGUUCUCCUGCGGUUUUGGGCAGUAGAGCUGUGCUCAAGGAGGGAUGGCUUCUGCCACUGAGGGCUGCCCGUAUUCUAGUAGGCCGCGGGUGGCCCUCCUGUGUCACUCACACGCACUUAACAUGGUAUAGAAGUAAGCGGGAGGCAAAUCAAAGAGUGGCAGCUGCGCGCUGGCUGGAGGCGAAGGUCCCAGUCCUGCAGACAGACAGUGGCACUAGUAACCGAAUACCCCCAACACCAGCCCUACCUUCCUCUUGAAAACUGAUACUGGUUGCCGACUCACCCUCUGCUCCUGGUGUACAUCUUCUAUGGAAAAGUACAAAGGAACUAAAGGGACUUAGAUAUUUUCCCGCAUUGACUUCUAAGAGGCAGUUUCACAGACUGGGGUAUCCCCAUGACUGUCUUUCAGUGAGAGCCAGAGUUAAAAUUAUUGAGGACGGAGCUAGUGUCUUUGUGCCGCUCUGUCCCAUCCACACCAGGGCUGUCCUUCUUCAUCUGCUUUCUAACAUAACAGACAGUCGGCGAUGGUCUUUCUGCAGCUCUCCUAAUCAACCACGUAUUUUCUGAGGUUGUAUUAUUUUUUGCUUACCUUUAUCCAGUUUGUUAAAAUAUGAAACUUUGGCCCUUUACAAAUAAUUUGUAUUUUUCUGACAUUCUUUGCUUUUUUGAUGGUUCCCGAACAACUUUCUGAGUGUCUCUCUUCUGACCCUAUUAAAAACUUAGUACAGAAUGUGUACUAUAAUUUAGAAAUUUUCAUAAAGUUGAACGUAUUUUCAAAUUUACAUAGUGUCCAUUUUUUUUAAUUAAAAAAAAUUCUCAGUAUAGUUGACGCACAAUGGUACAUCAGUUUCAAGUGUGCAACACGGUGAUUGACCUCCCCUAUACCUUACGCCCUGCCGGCCACAAGCAUAGCCACGAUCUGGCACCGCACAACCUCGUUACAACCCCAGAUACCACGGGCUGUAUUCUGUGCGUGGUGUGGUGGUGGCCAUGGCGUCGUGUCACAUUCUCGGCUCUACAGUAAAGUCUUCUAGAUGGUUUCUAUCAUUGGAUUCAUUUAUUGUGGCAAAAGACGGGUUACAGAGCUGUGUAAGGCAACCCAACUGUAUUUCUUACCUGCUUGCGGGUAAGACACAUCUUGUAAUGUUCUCGUUAGAGUCAGAGGGCUCCGCUCAAGGUUUUUUGUGUCUCUUAAAAGGCGUCGUAGGCCUUUCAGGGGCAGCGCGUCGGUAUGUGGCAGGGGCGUGCGCGGGAGAGCUGGGCCCCGCAGGGCAGUGGCCACCCCGGCUGCGCAGUGUGACUGCGCUGUGGGGCGCCCGUCGCGGCUGGCCCGGGCCACAACCGACGCCGGUGCGAGACCCCAGCCCUGGCCGGGGACCCGCGCGCCGGCGCUGGACAGAAGAGCCAGUCGCUCAGGACGCGGGGCUCUGCCGCGGCCGCGCUCGGAACGACGUCCU
rnacentral:lncRNA from 1 species